rnacentral:antisense_RNA from 1 species
UUCAAUGGCGGUUCAGACGGGGGAGGCUUCGGCCUCGCUGGAAGAUAGUUCCCAGUUGUGAGAACCCUGUCUUGAAUCGCCACCAUC